rnacentral:lncRNA from 1 species
UGAUAGUGGUCGAAAGACUGACUGAAGUAGAUGUUAAGAUUUACAAUUUAGCCUGGCCAUCUGCUUCCACUCUCCUCCUUGUGGAGGCGUCUGCUGAGGCCGCCAAUGCACCGCGGUCUCCCCCCCCCGAGAUACCCAACAAAUGCAACGCUGGGCUCUGCAGUCCUUCUUUACCUUUCCGACACCAUUGCCCAGCCUGAGUAUUUGCACUUUCUCCCUGGAGUUUAGCAAAUGUCUGAGUGCAGAGAGGGAACCGGCCCACCGUCCCGAAACAGACGAAUAAAUAACUCUGGCGGCGCGCCUCAUACUAGAGCUUGUGCAAGCAAGUGGACCAGAAAUAGCUCAGGGUAGAAGACUCCCAGCGGCGCCAUAGGAAGAAUGAGGCACAAGCCAAUUUUGUACCCUGAAACGGACAUUCCCCGGCUGGAAAAAGCUUGAGUAAAAAGGAGCCAGAGUCAUCUGAAAGGAGGGAACUGCAACUGAGAAAAUGCCUGUCAUAAGAUGCUGAUCAGCUGGGCUGAAGAAUCAGCUGUGAUUCACUGAAGUCAAAUCUCCUGGGAAGUGUUUCCUCAGAAGCCGUGCUCCAGAGGUGGCCAAGGUUGAACCUCAUGCCGGCAGCCGAACUUGGUUGCGUAAGAGUGACCCAGCUGAUAACUGCUUUAAAGGUAUAAAGGGAUCAUGGACAGCAGCUGAGGCUUGACCCUGUGUGGCAGGCCUGGAGUCCCUGAAAAGAGCCCAGGAGAGGUUAAAGGUGAAAGUGCAGCCCAGCUCCUGUAGAAGAGUCCAGCAUUUUGGAGAUGCCAGUACCAGGGGACAACCUCCAAGAACAGCAGCAGGUGUGGAGUGGAGCCAGCCUGAGCCUAGAAGACAUGUUCUGUGUGCUACAGAGGACAGAGCCAGAGAAGUGACCAGGCCCUUUGGAGGAGCUCAGAAGAUCAGGAGAGACGUCCAGACAUUGGAGGCUGAGUCAUUUACUGUUGGAACUUGGUUUUGCUUUGCUCAGGCUAUCUGUGGGCUGGUUCUUCUCUCUUGAGAUGUGAGUGGUAGAGAGAGGGCCCAGCUGCAGAGUAUUGGCUGCUGUUUGAGAGGACCUGAAUUUGAUAACCACAACUGUCAACCUCUUCUGGUUUCCCUAGGCA